UUUCCCUCAGGAUAGCUGGCACUCGUUUUAACGAGUCUCAUCUGGUAAAGCGAAUGAUUAGAGGCCUUGGGGCCGAAACGACCUCAACCUAUUCUCAAACUUUAAAUGGGUGAGAUCUCUGGCUUGCUUGAAUUGUGAAGCCACGAGAUAGUUGAAAGGAUCAGAGUGCCAAGUGGGCCAAUUUUGGUAAGCAGAACUGGCGCUGUGGGA
rnacentral:rRNA from 1 species